UAGGAUUAUGAUACCCUUAUUAAUGCUAGUAAAUUACAACGUUAUUCGUGGGUACGUACACCACUCUUUCAAACCUAAAUAACAUGGYCGGUACGGUAAAUAUUUAGGGGAACUUACUAGAUAAAUGAUAACCACCAAGAAAAUAUACUUUAAUUUAAAUUUUACAUACCGUCGUCGGCAGACCUUCUAAUAUAGAAUGUCAUAAUAUAUAAAUAAAAAGACAGAUGCRAGGUGUAGACAAUAUUAAUGUCUAAGCGAGUUACUAUAAAAACUUAUUCCAAUUUUGAUCUUUAAUAAUCUAACAAUUGCCGGACUUAAAAGUAAUAAAUAUUAAUUAUAGCCUAUGAAUUAUUUUACUGUGUGUACACAUCGCCCGUCGCUCUU
rnacentral:rRNA from 1 species